GGUCUGGUGGUCUAGUGUAAGUUCCUUAUAAACGCUUCCCUCGAAUGCGAGAGGUCCCGGGUUCAAUCCCCGGCCAGACCC
rnacentral:tRNA from 1 species